rnacentral:rRNA from 1 species
GUCCUGGCUGUAAACGGUGCACGUUUGCUGUAAAAGGAAUCGACCCCUUUUGUGGCGAAGCUAACGCGAUAAACGUGCCGCCUGGGAAGUACGGUCGCAAGAUUAAAACUCAAAGAAAUUGACGGGGGCCUGCACAAGCGGUGGAGUAUGUGGCUUAAUUCGAUGCAACGCGAAGAACCUUACCUGGCCUUGACAUGCACGUGGUAGAACCAUGAAAGUGGGACGACCCCGCAAGGGGAGCGUGCACAGGUGCUGCAUGGCUGUCGU